rnacentral:tRNA from 1 species
CUCUGAGUGGUGCAAAUGGUUAACAGCUUUGGCUGCUAACCAAAAGGUUGGGGGUUCAAGUCCACUCAGAGA